GCAGCAGAGGCAGCCCAGUGCAUCUUGCAGAGCAAUUCAGUUUGAGAAGUUCAAAGAAUACUCUCUUCUUCAAAGUCAAAUUUCACCACCACCGGCCGGGCCGCGUUCCACUUCUUUUGAUUCCUGUCCUCGAUGAACUCCUGGUUCAAGAGCAGGGAGAACAGCCUGAGCUUGUGUUGCCCUCACAGCCCCGCUGGAGUCCUGAUGCCACUCCUCUGCAUGUGAGCUCUCAAAUCACACACCAUCUCCACCAGGAGUUUUAUGAUGGAUUGCUAAACUGGGCAAAUAGCUAUUUUGCCAACCACACACUGCAACUCUGGCUGAGAUGGAGUGCUUGUGGUCUGGUUGUUUUUCUAUUCGAUUGAAACAAGGACACUCCCAGCUAUCGGUUCCCCAAGACAUCCAUCACUAUCUCAUUCCUGCAGAAGCCUUUCUUCGACAGGUCUGCGGGCCAGGUUCUCACCACAGCCAGGUGGUAGCGAGGAAACCAGAUGCACAAGGAGAGCCAUCCAUCAUCUGGAGGGGAUCUGCAGGUCUUACCAUGAUGUAAUAAAGAGCUGAAUGUUCACCAGGUGGGACCCUUCCUAUUCUUUCAGUCUUAUAAACAAGAAUACCAUUUUAUUUUCCAGUAAACUACCAGCCUGCAAGAAAGCUACAUUAAGUUCUGCUCCUUAAAACUGAGCAAGAUGUACAGUCCUCUAACUUCCAAGUUUAUGGCUGAAGUGAUAAAAAUAAAGUUACAGCAUCCCAGUCAUUUCCCCUUUCCUUCUGUGCUUGCCUUGAACAACACAUCAAUCCAUCAUACCCAAGAACAAAGUUAGAAAGGAAACAUCUCCACAGCAAAUAAAGCACCCCCAGAGGUCUGCGUGUCAGACCCUCAACUGGAAUAAACUCAAAUUAAAGGGAAGAGGGGGCUUAAGUCUGGUAAGAGUAUAAUCCUGUGAAUCUUAAUAUUAGAUUUUUUUCUGCAAAUUCUGAGGGUUGUUUUUUUUUUACUCACAAAAAAGAUUAUUUGGGUUCAGACAAAGCUCCCACCUCCUCCCUCCCUCUGAAGUCACUGUAAAUUCAGCCUUAUGCAUAGUAUAUCCAGAGUGCUUUUCUGAGAGAGACACUGAUGGGUGGAAACACAAUUUAAUUGCUCACACACCCAGACUUACUAUGGUCAAAAAUCCACCAGCCAGCCAAAAGAUCCUCUCUCAUCUAAAUUCCACACACACGCAAGGCAGUGCAACAUGCCCACUCAGCAGGAAAAUUCCUGUUUCUUUCUUAAUAAAAUCACCAGUGCAGAACUGGCUUUAAACUUUCUGGCUACACUCGGACACUUGUGGUGCACAGGUCCCAAGGAAACCCAGCAAGGGACCCCCCAAAACCAACUGAAUCACAUCUUACACCCAGGAGCACAGCACAGACGUAAUCAGCGUCUUGUGCUCGUCCUUCAGGCAUAAAGCACAGUUGUUGUUUCUUUGGAAUCACAGUUGUUCCACAGAAUGAACAGUUUUAUGCAACAAAGACAGAAUAGUUGCAGAGACUCAAACCCUGAGUAUGUCAUUGCAUCCAGAGGUAUCUCCGUUAUCACUCAGACCCCAAGACUGUUUCAGAGGUGCUAUAGGUAGCAAUACAUGAGUGUUUUAGGGCUGUUUUAUUUGUUUGUUUGUUUGCAGUGAAGUGAUGGAAAUAUAUUUAUCAGCCAGUCAGGUUCAUCAUUCCGUUGUCAAGAAGCUGCUCAGCAUCUAAGUGUAUAUAAGAGAUCACUUGUGUAUGAUCAGUGAUGAACACACAGCAUCAAUUUCUGAAUGAUCAGCCUCCUUCUAAACCUGUUGGUAAAGGUGCAGAAUAAAGACAGCAGCUCUAAAGACCAAGGCAAAAAAAGGUUUAGAGCAGAAAGUUAAAAAACAAAAACCAGCAGAAGUUUCAUAGCAUAAUGACAGAGCUGGGUGUAAAGAAGCCCAGCAAUUGAUUAAAAGAAGUCUAAUCUGCUCCAGAAUCUCCUUUUGAUUAUAUCAAAACUCAAAUCAGCAAGACUUUGGGGGGAGGAAGCCUGGCCUCACUGUUUUGUCCCACUUUGCCCAGACAUCACAAGAUUUCUUUACUGUUGUGCUCAACUUCUGUGUCACAGACAAUAAAAGCUUUGUGAAAGAAAAAAAAGAUCACAUUUUCCAUAGCCAGAACUAACAUACAUUUAAACUGACACUAACAACUACCUUUGAUGGAUUAACGCUCAAUCCCAGAAAGAUAUUUAUAUCCAAACUGUGGAAGCCUUGCAUAUUAUGAAACCAACCAUUUUUAAAAAGUCAUGGCUUUUGUUGAAGAUUGCAUUUAGAAAUGAGGAUUCUUUCGAACAAAAUCCAUUCAAGUCUUGUUGGAAGUACAUCCGUUUGUUUUUUUCUGUUGGUAUUUUUUUCUCGAGGUUUCAAGCCAUAAAGUUUUGUACUCCACUCUAUGCUAUAGGAAUCUGUGAAACUUAAUUACAUUUACUGUUACAAAAAAGGGUUUAUGAACUUUUGCCUUUGGGCAAAAAUGUUUAUUUCAUUGCCUUUGUUAUUCAUUCUUUUCAACUCCAGUGCCUUUGAACUUUUCAGCUGCACAGAGUUAUCACCGUUGCACAGGAACCAGGAACUGUACUCCCGAGAUGCAAACCACAAGUUGAAGAAAACGAAGGAGGCAAAGAUAUAUGAGUCGUUAUUUUGGCCACCCUUUGUGCCAUUAAAAUCUCAUUUUCUGCCUAUUAGAAUGCCCUCUCCCUGCUUAGGCAGUGGUGAUAGUCGGUGAUUAGUGUGUAAUUGAGUAUAAUUGUCUUUUCACUUUUCAUUUGUGUCAUUCUGAGCUUCUCUCUGUUUUUCUAACCACUUCGAGGAAAAAAGGGUGGAAAGAAGAUAAAGCCGUUAAAACUCUCACUUUCAGCCCUGAAGAGAUUCCUGAUUGUAAUUAUAGAUUGCAUCCUCUUUGUGACUUCUCAGAAUUUAGUGGACAUCUCUUUCCAAGCACCUGGGCAAAGCUCUAGCUAAUAAAAUAAACUACUGUCUAUUCAAGUUUAACUAAUAAUGUCAGCUUCAGACAGAUGCCUCAUGUAGGAAAAUCUAACCAACCUUUUGACACUCAAUUAUCAAGGCAAUUUAUUAACGUGAUUUCCUAAGAAGAGCUCAUGCAAAUUAGAAAAACAAUUAUGGUAGUCAUGCAUUUACACAUUGCCGAAGAGCAGUAAUGCUCCUAAUUUAUGUAUUUAUAACUCGAUUAUAGCUCAUCCAUCUCAAAGUGUAGCGUUCAGCUCUCAGAACCCUCCAAGCGCCACUUGCCUGCAAUUUUCCCGCAGUAUCUGCUGAAACCUUUGAGAGGUUAUCUUAAAGAGAUUUUAUUCAUGCAAAAGCUACAAGAUCUACUUUCUAUACCUAGCACUGGAUCUUCAGGAAAACAGCAGUGUGUUACCAAUGCCUAACAACUGAACGUAAACACAAACCCUGUAUGAUUACUUUAUAAAUCACCUGAAAUUAAAUAUGAGCUAUGACUCUUGAUUCAGCCAUUAGGAAGAAAAAAAUAAAAAAUUUUUUAAAAAAAAGAAAAAAAAAAAGAAGGAAACUAGCAAACUGAAAUCAUGUGGCUUGUAUAAAGAAUACAUUAUGGUUUAAAUUUGGCAAUUCAUUAUACUGUGGCCUGAGGGAAUAGACUCUUUGGUUCUGGUAUACAGCAAAUCCUCUGUCUGAAAACACAGGACUGACCUGAGGUGAAAGGCCAUUGCCAAUGGCAGGGUUCAUGGGAUUUGAGGGCCCGGACGGAGGCACAAAGCUGUCUGUAUAGCUGGAAAAUCCAUGCCUGGUGCUGGGUAGGCAAUAGGCAGAGCUGCUCUCUGGGUUCGAAGGGAGGCUGCUUUGGUGUACAGUGCUUGGAGGGAGAGGCUGAGGUCUAUGGACUGUACUGCUUGGAUCAGACACGGCUGGAAGGAAAAGAAACACAUUGAUCAUUUCCCUCCUCUUUUUCUAGCGUAAUAAGUUCAUUAUGUGAAGCUCGACUUGAUAUAAUUUCAUCAGAACCUGCAUGGAAGUACUGAUUAAACAGAAUGAAACAUUUUGUUUCUGCAGUGGAUCAACACAUGAAGCCCCCGGUAGCACUCUCUAGCCAAGUACCUGUUUGCUACUGUACCUUGCGG